rnacentral:rRNA from 1 species
CGUUCCCGGCCUUGUACACACCGCCCGUCACACCACGAAAGUCGGUAACACCCGAAGCCAGUGGCCCAACCCUUUGGGAGGGAGCUGUCGAAGGUGGGAUCGGCGAUUGGGGUG